rnacentral:rRNA from 1 species
UAUCUCUGUAGAGUCUGCAUAUCAAUAAGCGGAGGAAAAGAAACUAACUAGGAUUCCCUCAGUAACGGCGAGUGAAGCGGGAAGAGCUCAAAUUUGAAAUCUUCAAGGUUCUACCUUGACGAAUUGUAGUUUAAAGAAGUGUUUUCUGUUGGAGUUUUGGUAAAAGUUCUUUGGAAUAGGACAUCAUAGAGGGUGAGAAUCCCGUAUUUGACCAUUAUUUCCAGCUUUGUGAUACACUUUCAAAGAGUCGGAUUGUUUGGGAAUGCAGUCCAAAAUGGGUGGUAAAUUUCAUCUAAAGCUAAAUACUGGCGAAGAGACCGAUAGCGAACAAGUACCGUGAGGGAAAGAUGAAAAGAACUUUGAAAAGAGAGUUAAACAGUACGUGAAAUUGUCAAAAGGGAAGCGUUUGACACCAGUGUUGUUUUCUCGAAAAUCAAUUAAAAAUGGCGGGAUUUUGUGUUGUAUUGACUUUAUCAGCUUUCUGCACUUUUUUCCUGUCUUUUUUAAUGCACUUUUCGUUUAACAAGUCAACAUCAAUUUCUUUUGCUGUAAAAGAGUCAUUGGAAGGUGGCUUUCUUUUCGGAGAAAGUGUUUAUAGCCUUUGGCCUCUGCAAUCGGAGAGAUUGAGGUCUGCAGCGUAGAUCCUUCGGGGUUAGAUACAUUUGUGCUAAGUUAUAGCCUUUCAUAGACAACUUGUUGACUAUGAUCAGUCAUGUAGCUUACUCGCUUAUGCUAUUUUACCUACGCUUAGGAUGUUGAGUCAUCACACAUCUCU